rnacentral:rRNA from 1 species
UGGGAAACCUGCCCAGAAGCGGGGGAUAACACCUGGAAACAGAUGCUAAUACCGCAUAACAACUUGGACCGCAUGGUCCGAGCUUGAAAGAUGGCUUCGGCUAUCACUUUUGGAUGGUCCCGCGGCGUAUUAUCUAGAUGGUGGGGUAACGGCUCACCAUGGCAAUGAUACGUAGCCGACCUGAGAGGGUAAUCGGCCACAUUGGGACUGAGACACGGCCCAAACUCCUACGGGAGGCAGCAGUAGGGAAUCUUCCACAAUGGACGAAAGUCUGAUGGAGCAACGCCGCGUGAGUGAAGAAGGGUUUCGGCUCGUAAAACUCUGUUGUUAAAGAAGAACAUAUCUGAGAGUAACUGUUCAGGUAUUGACGGUAUUUAACCAGAAAGCCACGGCUAACUACGUGCCAGCAGCCGCGGUAAUACGUAGGUGGCAAGCGUUGUCCGGAUUUAUUGGGCGUAAAGCGAGCGCAGGCGGUUUUUUAAGUCUGAUGUGAAAGCCUUCGGCUCAACCGAAGAAGUGCAUCGGAAACUGGGAACCUUGAGUGCAGAAGAGGACAGUGGAACUCCAUGUGUAGCGGUGAAAUGCGUAGAUAUAUGGAAGAACACCAGUGGCGAAGGCGGCUGUCUGGUCUGUAACUGACGCUGAGGCUCGAAAGUAUGGGUAGCAAACAGGAUUAGAUACCCUGGUAGUCCAUACCGUAAACGAUGAAUGCUAAGUGUUGGAGGGUUUCCGCCCUUCAGUGCUGCAGCUAACGCAUUAAGCAUUCCGCCUGGGGGAGUACGGCCGCAAGGCUGAAACUCAAAGGAAUUGACGGGGGCCCGCACAAGCGGUGGAGCAUGUGGUUUAAUUCGAAGCUACGCGAAGAACCUUACCAGGUCUUGACAUACUAUGCAAAUCUAAGAGAUUAGACGUUCCCUUCGGGGACAUGGAUACAGGUGGUGCAUGGUUGUCGUCAGCUCGUGUCGUGAGAUGUUGGGUUAAGUCCCGCAACGAGCGCAACCCUUAUUAUCAGUUGCCAGCAUUAAGUUGGGCACUCUGGUGAGACUGCCGGUGACAAACCGGAGGAAGGUGGGGAUGACGUCAAAUCAUCAUGCCCCUUAUGACCUGGGCUACACACGUGCUACAAUGGAUGGUACAACGAGUUGCGAACUCGCGAGAGUAAGCUAAUCUCUUAAAGCCAUUCUCAGUUCGGAUUGUAGGCUGCAACUCGCCUACAUGAAGUCGGAAUCGCUAGUAAUCGCGGAUCAGCAUGCCGCGGUGAAUACGUUCCCGGGCCUUGUACACACCGCCCGUCACACCAUGAGAGUUUGUAACACCCAAAGCCGGUGGGGUAACCUUUUAGGAACCAGCCGCCUAAGGUGGGACAGAUGAUUAGGGUGAAGUCGUAACAAGGU